GUAGCUUAAGUGGUCAGAGCAUCUGCCUUGGAUGCAGGAGGUCAGAGGGUUUGAAUCCCAACCA